rnacentral:rRNA from 1 species
UGGAGAGUUUGAUCCUGGCUCAGGACGAACGCUGGCGGCGUGCCUAACACAUGCAAGUCGAGCGGGCCUGUCAAGGCGUUAUGUUUUGGCAGGUUAAGCGGCGGACGGGUGAGUAACGCGUGAGCAACCUACCCUUGAGACAGGGAUAACCCUGGGAAACCGGGGCUAAUACCUGAUAUACUCUAUUAGGGCAUCCUGAUGGAGGAAAGGCGAAAGCCGCUCAAGGAUGGGCU